GACAGAGGGUGCAAACGUUGUUCGGAAUUACUGGGCGUAAAGCGUGCGCAGGCGGUUCGCUGUGUCCGAUGUGAAAGCCCCGGGCUUAACCUGGGAAUGGCAUUGGAAACUGGCGGGCUUGAGUGCGGCAGAGGGGGGUGGAAUUCCGCGUGUAGCAGUGAAAUGCGUAGAGAUGCGGAGGAACACCGAUGGCGAAGGCAGCCCCCUGGGUCGACACUGACGCUCAGGCACGAAAGCGUGGGGAGCAAACAGG
rnacentral:rRNA from 1 species